rnacentral:rRNA from 1 species
UACAGAGGGUGCGAGCGUUGUCCGGAAUCACUGGGCGUAAAGGGCGCGUAGGUGGCGACCCAAGUCCGCGGUGAAAGCUCGUCGCUUAACGACGAGUCGGCCACGGAGACUGGGUGGCUCGAGCACUGUAGGGGCAGAUGGAAUUCCGGGUGUAGCGGUGGAAUGCGUAGAGAUCCGGAAGAACACCGGUGGCGAAGGCGGCCUGCUGGGCAGUAGCUGACGCUGAUGCGCGACAGCGUGGGGAGCAAACAGG